UCCGUAGGUGAACCUGCGGAAGAAUCAUUACCGAGUCGAACUGGCUUUGGUUUAAUCAGGCUCUGAAAAAACAGUCCCUUCGGGCUCCCGCUCGUCGUUUCUGGGCACCCACCGCCGCGUCGAACUGUUUGGGUCGGGUGCUCGCGCGCCCUUCCCGCUUUAUUUAAAUCUUUUGUCAUUGUAUGUGUAUAGGGCCCGAGACGAAAGCCACGCCGCCUCGCUGUCAGCCGUCAGGGCGAAGCAGGUGCGCAGGGCCGGUAGCGAAGGCCUGGGGCUUAGCGAACGUCCACAUCCCAACCCUUCGGGGCGGCAGGGCACAGUAGCGACGCCUUGAAUUUAUUAAAGAAAUAUAACUUUCAACAACGGAUCUCUUGGCUCUCGCGUCGAUGAAGAACGCAGCGAAAUGCGAUACGUAAUGUGAAUUGCAGAACUAUGUGAAUCAUCGAAUCUUUGAACGCAUCUUGCGCCCUUUGGCAUUCCUUAGGGCAUGUCUGUCUGAGUGUCGUUUAAUUCUCAAACCCGCCCUUUGGCCUCCGGGCCCUCGGGCGGCCCGCUUCGGCGCGGCUAGGUUUGGUUCGUGAGCGUCAGCCGGCUUUGCUCGGCUCGCUUCAAACUCGUAGGCGAUACGUGGCUGCUGCACAGUAGCGCCUCUCGCUCGCUGGCCUGAUAGUAAAAUUGAACGGUCGGUGGGCUCGGGGAGCGAACGCGGCCUUGCCUUUCGCUGUGAAAAAAAAACACACGCGCGACCUCGGUUGCUCAAAUCAUUUUGACCUCAGAUCAGGCAGGACUACCCGCUGAACUUAAGCAUAUCAAUAAGCGGAGGA
rnacentral:rRNA from 1 species